rnacentral:lncRNA from 1 species
AGGCGAGACGCUUUAUAUCUAUCUUGUUUAUCUUUAUAUCUUCAGUGUUAAAAGAGCCUAGCACAGAGUAGACAAUAAAUAAUUGUUGAGUGAAUGAAAGAAUGAACAUGAAGAACUAUUGCCCAUCCACAUCUCCAUGGUUAGCAGAGUCAGAGAAUAAGCCUUUUCAUCAUGUGAAAGAGAAUUGCAUCAUAAACCUGCUGUGUGCAAUUAAUAUGUGAUACUGUACUUGCCUUUUUCUGGAUACCUUUUUAUGUUUCAUGAUUAACUUUGGCUAACAGCAGAAAUGGGAGAGAAGUGUCCAGAGAGGGAUGCUACUAAAAAGGCUUUAUGUGACAAACCAUAUUGUCAGACAUUAACAGAAAAUACACCACUGCAGAAUGAUGGCAACACGCAGAGACAAAGCACCAAUGGCCAUCACAGAUUUUCCCCUUGACAUCAAUGGAUCAAGAUUCCUGUCCACCCAACUUUGGAGACUACUAGAAUAGAUGGCUUCCAUGGUUUCUACAAGUUCUGUAUGUAUGAUUGUAG